GCCGUAAUAGCACAGUGGUAGUGCAAUCGCCUUGUAAGCGAUAGGUCGGGGGUUCGAAUCCCUCUUACGGCA
rnacentral:tRNA from 1 species